rnacentral:sRNA from 1 species
AUUAAGAUUGUGGUUUAUGUGUGUAACAGUUUCAGCCUUUAAGAAAGAAAGUAAACAAGCAGACAUUAUUUUUCAAAUACGUGCAUAAGGGUUCAUAUUUAAAAGCAAGCCAAAGCCAAGUCAACCACCUAACCACAGCUGUAGUUAAAUUUCUCCAUAAACCAGGCUGUCUUCCAGCCUCUCCACCUUCCAAGAUCCUUUCCUGUGCAUCCCUAAUUAGAAACGAGAGCAGAAAAAGGAGCUGGGUCAUGUCAAUGGACUGGUGGACAAAUCUGGCAAACGGACUACAUCCCCCAGCAGUGACACUGACUUGUUGGACAGAUCGGCCAGCAAAACUGAACUAAAGGCCAUUGCCCAUGCCCGGAUCCUGGAAAGGAGAGCCAGCAGGCCUGGCACACCCACAUCCAGCGCCAGCACAGAGACCCCCACCUCUGAGCAGAAUGAUGUCGACGAAGACAUCAUUGACGUGGAUGAGGAACCAGUAGCAGCGGAGCCAGACUAUGUGCAGCCCCAGCUGAGGCGGCCCUUUGAGCUGCUGAUUGCUGCCGCCAUGGAGCGGAACCCCACCCAAUUUCAGUUGCCCAAUGAACUGACUUGUACCACUGCACUACCAGGUUCUAGCAAGAGGAGAAGAAAGGAGGAAACCACAGGGAAAAAUGUUAAGAAGACACAGCAUGAAUUAGAUCACAAUGGUCUCGUUCCCUUACCCGUCAAAGUCUGCUUCACGUGUAACAGGAGUUGCCGUGUGGCUCCUCUCAUCCAGUGUGACUAUUGCCCUCUCCUGUUUCACAUGGAUUGCCUCGAGCCGCCGCUCACUGCCAUGCCCCUGGGCAGAUGGAUGUGUCCGAAUCACAUCGAACAUGUGGUGCUGAACCAGAAGAAUAUGACACUGAGCAAUCGGUGCCAGGUGUUUGAUCGUUUCCAGGACACCGUUUCGCAGCAUGUCGUCAAAGUGGACUUCCUGAACCGAAUCCACAAGAAGCACCCCCCUAACCGGCGUGUGCUCCAGUCGGUCAAAAGAAGAAGCUUGAAGGUUCCUGAUGCUAUAAAAUCUCAGUACCAGUUUCCACCCCCUCUCAUUGCACCCGCGGCCAUUCGGGACGGGGAGCUGAUCUGCAAUGGGAUCCCUGAGGAAUCACAGAUGCACCUUUUGAACUCUGAGCACUUAGCCACCCAAGCAGAGCAGCAAGAGUGGCUCUGUAGUGUUGUUGCGCUCCAGUGCAGCAUAUUGAAACAUUUAUCUGCUAAGCAGAUGCCUUCGCAUUGGGACUCUGAACAGACAGAGAAGGCUGAUAUUAAGCCUGUUAUUGUGACUGACAGCUCAGUCACCACCUCCCUGCAAACAGCUGACAAGACACCUACACCUUCCCACUACCCCUUGUCCUGCCCCUCAGGGAUUAGCACCCAGAAUUCCCUGAGCUGCUCUCCACCCCACCAGUCCCCAGCCCUAGAGGACAUCGGCUGCAGUUCUUGUGCGGAAAAAUCCAAGAAAACCCCUUGUGGGACUGCCAAUGGGCCAGUGAACACAGAGGUGAAAGCUAAUGGCCCACACCUCUACAGCAGCCCUACUGAUUCCAUGGACCCCCGGCGACUUCCAGGCGCUAACACCCCACUACCAGGCCUCUCACACCGGCAAGGCUGGCCCCGGCCCCUCACGCCACCAGCGGCUGGGGGCCUUCAGAACCACACCGUCGGCAUCAUUGUGAAGACAGAGAAUGCCACUGGCCCCAGCUCUUGCCCCCAGAGGAGUUUGGUUCCUGUCCCAAGCCUGCCCCCUUCCAUUCCCAGCUCUUGUGCCAGCAUCGAGAACACCAGCACUUUGCAAAGAAAGACUGUCCAAUCACAGAUAGGACCUCCGAUGACAGAUUCAAGGCCACUGGGCUCACCCCCAAACGCCACCCGGGUGCUCACUCCCCCGCAAGCAGCAGGAGAUGGUAUCUUGGCCACAGCAGCCAACCAACGAUUCAGCUCACCAGCGCCAUCGUCAGAUGGCAAGGUCAGCCCCGGCACGUUAUCCAUAGGAAGCGCUUUAACCGUACCCUCUUUCCCAGCCAACUCUACUGCCAUGGUGGACCUCACCAACUCACUUCGAGCAUUUAUGGAUGUCAAUGGAGGCAGAUCACCUGGAUUUGCAGAAUAAAACUAAGAUCCUCACUCCCAAAGGAGGGACCUCAUCUGUGGGAAACCCCCAAAGUCCAGGAGAACAGGGACAGAUCUUGAUCUCUGUGAACACAAGAAAUCGAGAUAAAUAUGCUGGACGAGAAGCUGAUCAAGUUUCUGGCCUUGCAGAGAAUACAUCAGCUUUUCCCCUCCCGGGUCCAACCUUCACCGGGCAGUGUCGGGACACAUCAGCUGGCUUCUGGAGGGCACCACAUAGAAGGUGCGCAUGUACACACCUGUCACCAAAUCAUCAGAUCUCCCCUCUACGUGUGCGAAUGGUCACCUUGCCUCCAUGGAGAAUCUGAGCUUCCAGUAUCUCAAACCUCCUUGUGUGCUUUUCAUGGGCUUAAUAAAGCACCAUGGUUUUUUUCUGAAGAGAGCAGGAACAAGA